CUCGCUCAACUGCUCGCCCUUUGCCACCUUAUCGCGUACCCUUUUCAAGAUCUCCAUCUUUCCUUUCACUUGUUCUUGGAGUUUCUCAUUGAUCUCUCUCUUGAAUUUCUCGACUUUAUCCCUGUUGGCACUCUGCUCCAGCACUCGGUUGUAGUCCGAUAACAGUUCGAGCUUCUGCUUCAACUUGAUGAAGGCUCCGGGUUGGGCUAGAUUUGUAUUGAAUUGUUGCACCAGCUUAUCAACCCGUUCCUUCAAUGCUGGACUGACGGAUUCAGGUGACUUGGAAGGUGACUUGGCUAACUCCACCUUGAUGGCUUGAAGCUCAUCUUGAAGGCCCAUUGAGAUGUAGGCGUUGGUCAUUUCCUUGUCGACUUCUUUCUUCAGUUUCUCUAUUGUAUCAUCGGAGAUGACAGGGCCGGAGGAUUUGCCCUUGG
rnacentral:misc_RNA from 1 species